CGCGAAUCAGAAUGUCGCGGUGAAUACGUUCCCGGGCCUUGUACACACCGCCCGUCACACCAUGAGAGUCGGGAACACCCGAAGUCCGUAGCCUAACAGCAAUGGGGCGCGGCCGAAGGUGGGUUCGAUAAUUGGGGUGAAGUCGUAACAAGGUACC
rnacentral:rRNA from 1 species